GUCACGGCCGCCAUCUUCCCUGUCGUCUGGGAAGGCUGCCGAGACAGCGCUGUAUUUUUCUUGUUUUUUUAGGUUAUUAUAAAGUGCCCGGAAGCGCCAUGCUGUGGGAAGGGAGAAAAGAAUGAUGUGAAGCGAAGAACAGUCUAAGCACCGUGCAGGACAAAGCAGGAGAGGCUGCGGGCUGCUACAUAAGAAGAAGAGGAGGAAGAACAAGAGGAGGAGGAGGAGGAGGAUGAAGGGGACACACAGGAAUCAAAUGAUACUGCCAGAAGAAGAAGAGGAGGAGGAAGAGGAUACAGAGGAAUCAGUUGACACUACCAAACGAAGAAGAGGAGGAGGAGGAAGAAGAAGACGAGGAACACAGGAGGAGCCCAUUGGUGAGUGUUAAUUUAUUUUUUUCUAAAGUGGUUAACGAGCAAUCAAGGAAUUUUUAUAAUAAGGAGGGAAAGUGUGAUUUUUUUAUUGUAG